rnacentral:rRNA from 2 species
CGAAGUCUGACGGAGCACGCCGCGUGAGUGAUGAAGGCUUUCGGGUCGUAAAACUCUGUUGUUAGGGAAGAACAAGUGCUAGUUGAAUAAGCUGGCACCUUGACGGUACCUAACCAGAAAGCCACGGCUAACUACGUGCCAGCAGCCGCGGUAAUACGUAGGUGGCAAGCGUUAUCCGGAAUUAUUGGGCGUAAAGCGCGCGCAGGUGGUUUCUUAAGUCUGAUGUGAAAGCCCACGGCUCAACCGUGGAGGGUCAUUGGAAACUGGGAGACU